rnacentral:rRNA from 1 species
UACGUAGGGACCGAGCGUUGUCCGGAUUCAUUGGGCGUAAAGAGCUCGUAGGCGGCCACUCAAGUCGGAUGUGAAACCUCGAGGCUUAACCUCGAGCCUGCAGUGGGUACGGGCAAACUAGAGUGCGGUAGGGGAGAUUGGAAUUCCUGGUGUAGCGGUGGAAUGCGCAGAUAUCAGGAGGAACACCGAUGGCGAAGGCAGAUCUCUGGGCCGUAACUGACGCUGAGGAGCGAAAGCAUGGGGAGCGAACAGG